CAUGACGCUGGCGGCAGGCCUAACACAUGCAAGUCGAGCGGUAACAGAGAGUAGCUUGCUACUUUGCUGACGAGCGGCGGACGGGUGAGUAAUGCUUGGGAACAUGCCUUGAGGUGGGGGACAACAGUUGGAAACGACUGCUAAUACCGCAUAAUGUCUACGGACCAAAGGGGGCUUCGGCUCUCGCCUUUAGAUUGGCCCAAGUGGGAUUAGCUAGUUGGUGAGGUAAUGGCUCACCAAGGCGACGAUCCCUAGCUGGUUUGAGAGGAUGAUCAGCCACACUGGGACUGAGACACGGCCCAGACUCCUACGGGAGGCAGCAGUGGGGAAUAUUGCACAAUGGGCGCAAGCCUGAUGCAGCCAUGCCGCGUGUGUGAAGAAGGCCUUCGGGUUGUAAAGCACUUUCAGUCAGGAGGAAAGGUUAGUAGUUAAUACCUGCUAGCUGUGACGUUACUGACAGAAGAAGCACCGGCUAACUCCGUGCCAGCAGCCGCGGUAAUACAGUANG
rnacentral:rRNA from 1 species